GACAGAGGGGGCAAGCGUUGCUCGGAAUCACUGGGCGUAAAGGGCGCGUAGGCGGGAGGACAAGUCGGUCGUGAAAUCUUCGGGCUCAACCCGGAGGCGUCGGCCGGAAACUGUUUUUCUUUGAGGGAGGCAGAGGAGUCUGGAAUUCCCGGUGUAGCGGUGAAAUGUGUAGAGAUCGGGAGGAACACCGGUGGCGAAGGCGGGACUCUGGGCCUACCCUGACGCUGAGGCGCGAAGGCGUGGGGAGCAAACGGG
rnacentral:rRNA from 1 species